AUUGAACGCUGGCGGAAUGCUUUACACAUGCAAGUCGAACGGCAGCACGGACUUCGGUCUGGUGGCGAGUGGCGAACGGGUGAGUAAUACAUCGGAACGUGCCCAGUCGUGGGGGAUAACGUAGCGAAAGCUACGCUAAUACCGCAUACGAUCUAAGGAUGAAAGCGGGGGAUCGCAAGACCUCGCGCGAUUGGAGCGGCCGAUGGCAGAGUUAGGUAGUUGGUAGGGUAAAGGCCUACCAAGCCGACGAUCUGUAGCUGGGCUGAGAGGAUGGUCAGCCACACUGGGACUGAGACACGGCCCAGACUCCUACGGGAGGCAGCAGUGGGGAAUUUUGGACAAUGGGCGCAAGCCUGAUCCAGCCAUUCCGCGUGCAGGAUGAAGGCCUUCGGGUUGUAAACUGCUUUUGUACAGAACGAAAAGGCUCUGGUUAAUACCCGGGGCUCAUGACGGUACUGUAAGAAUAAGCACCGGCUAACUACGUGCCAGCCGCCGCCGUAA
rnacentral:rRNA from 1 species